rnacentral:snoRNA from 1 species
AUGCCCUGUACCUUGCUCGGUUUUAUGUUUCAUGUAUGAAAUCUUGAGCUGGAUGCAACAGUUACUUACUUUGUAAGUCAUUUACUCUUGUAAUGGGCAAGAUCAAUCAAAGGAUUUUAUUUGAGUACGAUUGCAUUAUCAGUAAAUUUGAAAAAUGGUGUAAUUGUAAUUACUAAACCUUACAUUU